rfam:Candidatus Roizmanbacteria bacterium RIFCSPHIGHO2_01_FTLL_39_8 rifcsphigho2_01_scaffold_57362, whole genome shotgun sequence.
GCCUCGAUGCUGGAACUGGCAGACAGACACGCUUCAGAAGCGUGUGCCUUCACAGGCGUGGAGGUUCAAAUCCUCCUCGAGGCA